rnacentral:hammerhead_ribozyme from 1 species
CAUCAUCGGUGCACUGUGCUGAUGAGCUCCAAAAAGGCGAAACAGCUGUCCACAGUUGCCGUUGUUUGAGCUU